rnacentral:other from 1 species
ACCUCCCUGCUUUGUUCGAUAAAUACGGUAAAUAUAACCCAACACACACUUAAAGGGAGCUGAUCUCCAUCUGUGGAUUGCAGGCCUCCCAUAGCAAUAUGGACGAAGGAAGCGUGAAGCAGAAGGGUAAGCACCCACCUGCCAAAUAGCAGGUUAUUAUCUACCGUUUUCCGGCAUAGCGGGGGCUU